rnacentral:lncRNA from 10 species
CUUUAACCACUUUAUAUUGAACACAAAAUACCUCUGUUCUUUGACCACAAAACAAUAGACAAUUUUCACUGGCCCCUUCACCCCAGAUAAUCCCUACCCUUCCCCACCUCCCUGGAUCAUCUCUCACCACCUCUCCUUUUUGGCCCCUCUCCAUUCUUCUUUCCCUGACUCCUUCAGGAGCAAAACUCCCCUCAUUUCCUCAUACAGGGCAGUAAUGAAAUCUUUUUUAUUGUCUUUACAACAUGCUCUCAGGGUCCCCCUUCUGUCCUCUUUGCCUCAAAAAGACAAUGCCUCACACCCAUGCUCUGAGGCAUGAUUCACAGGGGCCAAGAGGUGGAAGCAGCUGGAGUGUCCAUUGACAAUGAAUGAACAAACAAAAUGAGGUCUGUAUACACAAAGGAGUAUUAUUCAGCCUUAAAAAGGAAAGAAAUUCUGACACAUCCUACAGCAUGAAUGAACCUUGAGCACACUACGCUAAGUGAAAUAAGCCACACACAAAAGGACAAAUAUUAUAGGAUUCCACUUAUAUGAGGUACCUGGAGUGGACAAAUCCAUAGAGACAGAAAGUAGAAUGGUGGUUUCCCAGGGAUGUGGGGUGAGGAGAAUGGGGAGUUAAUGUUUAAUUGGUACUGAUUUUCAAUUUUGCAAGAUGUAGAAGUUCUGGAGAUUGGUUGCACAACAAUGUGAAUAUAUUAUACACUACUGAACCAUAUACUUAGAAGUGGGUAAGAUGGUAAAUUUUAUAUUAUGUGGGUUUUGUUCACCACAAUUUCAAAUUAAAUUUUUAAAAAAACUUGGGCAAGGUGUUUAUUCCUUUGAGUCUUAGUUUCCUCACUUCUACCUUGGAGACGAAUGUGUCUAUUCUCCUCUAACUACACCUCACAAGGCUGUUUUCAAGCUCACAUGAAGUGAUAUUACUGAAAGACAAGAACAAAGGCAUUUCUUUCUCAAGAGCAAUUCCAGUGCUGAAGCUGAAGAUAACUCACUUUUCUUUAUAGCUAAUGUGGCUUCCAUUUCCCCUGCCCGUCCUUCCCAACCUCCCCCACACUUCUCUUCCUCUACCAUCACUUUAAUGUUGUUGAGUCAAUGUUUAUUCCCUCCCUCUUUUAUGCUGCUAUUCUCCCUGGGAUUUCAAUGAAUCUCGAAGCUUCAAGUACCAUCUGUGGCCAGAUGAACAACAAUAUGUAACUCUCAUCUAGCUCUCUUUCCUAAAAUUCAAACUAAUAUAUCCUACUGAAUUUAUCCCCUAUGCACCUCAACUCAGCAUGCUCAACAUUGAACUCAGAUAUGUUAUUUUUCAAAGGUUCAUUUCUCUCUUGUGUUGUUGUCAGAGGCAGCAACAGUGUGUUCAUGGCUCUACUCCAUAUAUCUUCUUCAUUCCAAGACCCAGGUUGAAGGAACAGCCCAUAUUUGGGACAUGCUAUUAUUGUGGAAGAGAAAAAAAAAGACAUGGCUGAACCUUGCAAAUGGUUCUUAAUGUUUCUGCUUGUACUUGGCCUAAAUCAUUCCCAUUUAGGUACCAUUGGCUAAAACAAGUCAUAUACCCAAGUCUGGUGUCAGUAAUAUGGAGAAGUACAUCCCUCCUCCAGAGAAACACUGAAAGUCACAGGGUCAAGUUUAGGAUGCAAAAUUCUUUUACCAGGAGGAGGAGUAAAGAAUAAUAUCCAAUCACUAUGGACACACUGCCUGUGUGUGAGGCUAGCUCCAUCUGCAGAAGGGCUACAGUUAGAAGAGUACCCAGAUCUCCUCCAGCAGGAACUUGAGGAGGUGCUGACCUCCUGAAAGGAAGAAACUGAAGGCUUGUGGGAAAAGUGCUGAUCUCAUGGGAAAAGAAUAUCUGAAAGAGAAUCCUGCCUCAGCCACUCCAACAUUUGAAAUGGCUUAGGAAAAUCAUUUCAUAUUCUGGGCCUCCUCUGGAGUGUCUUUCACUUGCCCAUGGCCUUCCUACAAGAAUCUACAGGAGUGAGUUCCCAGCAGCAAUGUUAGUACAUUGUGACCCCACUUCUUGACAAUGAUUGAUUGGAUUAGGGGAAGGCUCUUGACCCAGGCUAGUCAAACCAGAGUUCCAUCUGUGGCAAUGCAGAAUCCAAAAAGAGAGGUACAAGUUCAAUCUACCCUGUGGUUGGCAUAAUAACAUAUGAAUUUGGGAGCCUGCCAUUUCUCCAACUAUAUGUACUGAGUAGCUGAGAAAGCCAAUCUGCAGAGAAAAAUAACUAAAGCUAAGUAGAGAAAAGGGGAGAAAGAAGAGAGGCCACAUUGCUUGGGUUCCCUAUGGCUUUCUUUGUUGCAGUUGUUGUCAUUUUCAGGGCUCUUCCCUGUAACUCAUUCAUGAACUUCAUUUUGAUAAGUCACACUUAUAUCUUAUGAUGAAUUUCUCUAUUUAGUUUAUACUAGCAUUAGUUGGUUUCUGUUGCUUGCAACCAAAGGAACUUGGCGCAAUUCACGUUCACCUUUCUGAGCAUUAGUUUGUUCACCUGAAAAAUUACAAUAGUGAUGCUGAGUUACAGGAUUGUUGAAAGCAUCAAAUGGAUGUGGGAAAUGCUGUAAAAUGGAAUAUUAUUGCAGGAAAGAGAUACCAUGGAUGGAACAAAAUGGCCAAGAGAGAAAUUUUGCUCUAAACUUUUUAAAUGCUGAUUAGAAAAAUAAUGAUAGAAACUAACCAGUAAUUUAUCAGAAUAUACCAGACACUGUUUUAAGUAUUUCAUUCAUGUUGACUUCUUUAAUAUUCACAUCAAGUUCAUUUUGCACAGGUUUUAUUCUUAUCUUCCAUUAUGCAGUUGAGGAAACUAAAAUGUAAAGGAGGUUUAAUAAUAGGAUGUAAAAAAAAAUUAACUGGGCAUAGUGGCGCAUGCUUGUAUUAUCAGCUACUCAGGAGGCUGAGGCAGGAGAAUUGCUUGAACCUGGGAGGCGGAGGUUGCAAUGAGCCCAGAUUGUGCCACUGCACUCCAGCCUGGGCAACAUAGCGAGACUCCAACUCAAAAAAAUAAAAAUAGUAAAAAUAAUAAGAUGUAAAAGGGACCUAAAAGCCAAGGUCACAUAAUACUAAGUGGCAAAGUAAUAUUCUUGGCAUUUAUAUCUAUUUUCUAAUCAGUAAAAUGUCACAAAUAAUAGAUAUUCCGGGAUGGUGCUUUGAGAAUAAACUAAGAUGUCUUCAUGAUAUAUAUGGCCCAUAAUAAGAGAUAAUUAAAUAAUCACUUUCAUAAGAAUACUCAUCAUAAAGCUAUUUCCUUGUUGCAUUGCAAAUGAAGAAAAUAAGACAUGAAAUUAUGAAGAGGUAAAUUUCAAAUAAAUAAAAGGCAAUUAUGUUUACACAGCAGGAGAUGGACUCUUAAAGCCAAUUAACCCAAGUGAGGAAUAGGCUUGAAAAUCUGUAGUACUUACCAUGAAACAUGGCCUCAGGCAACCUCAGAUUAACAGCUCUCUGGCUGACUCUUUCUAGGGCAAUGAAUACACCCAACUCUGCAGUACCUGUUGUCAAUACAAUCUGUUUUUUCUUUUAUUCUCAGCCUUGAAAAUGGCAUGUCUCCACUGAUAUAAAGUAGAGGGAGACAAAGACACUGAGAAUUACUAUAUACUAUUGUAUCUUGGAGGUUCUGUGGGCAUGAUGUCAUGUUAUAAAUGAAAAAUGGGAGCUCUAAGAGGUAAAGGAACAUGGCUUCAGUCUAACAACCAGUCAAUGGAAGAGUUGGAUUUCAAAUACAAGUCUUUACAACCUCAAAGUGCCAGCUUUCCUACCCUCAUACCUUGCGAUUCCUUGUUAGGUACCUUAGCUGCUUACCAAGUUAUCUAAUGUCAAUAAUUCAAAACAACCAUAAACAUUUAUUAUCUCACAGCUGCUGUGAGUCAGAAAUUCAAGAGCAGCUUAGCCAGGUGGUUCUGGCUUGGGGUUUGUCAUGAGGCGACAGCUGAGAUAUCAGUCAGGUCUACAGUCAUCUGAAGGCUUGACUGGGGCUGGAGGAUCUGCUUCCAAUUGAUAUGGCUGGCAGUUUGGUGCUGGUUGUAGGAAGGAGGCCUUGGUUCCUCUCCAUGUAGGCUUCUCCAUAGUUUACUUGUUUCCUCACAGCAUGGAGGCUGACUUCCCCCAGAGCAAGCAACUGAAGAGAAACAGUGCCAGGUGGAAGCUAUCCUUUUUAUGACCUAACCUCAGAAGUCACAUAGCAUCACUUCCACCACAUUUUAUUAAUUAGAAAUAAAUCUCUAAGUCUGACCCACAUUCAUGGGAGGGAAACUAGGUUUUGCCUUUUAAAAGGAGGAGAAUUAUGGUCUUGAUUUAAGACCACCACACUUCGCAACAUGAGAAUGAACUGGCAGCUCUGUAAUGAGUUACCUGUCCUCCGCUUUGAAGGAGUCAGAGGCUUCCAAUAUGUGUCAGGUUAAAGAUCAAAAUCCUCAGCAUGGCCAACAAGGUCAUGCAUGCUCUGCCCCUUGCAUGCUCUUAGUCUCAAACAAGGUCUUUCCUCACUUUCUAUCAACACUUGGACUACUUUUAUUUAUCCUAAAAUGCCACGCUUUUCCCUGCCUGAAGGCCUCUGCAGAGAUGUUUGCUUGGCCCUCUGUGUCCUCUCUUGACUUCCUUUUGCCUUGUUAACAUUCACACAUCCUUCAGAUCCUGUCAGAGGCUUUCAUAAAUCUUUGGAUUGUUCUAAUAAUAUUUUUUUCAUUUACAGUUAGGUAUAGGUGUGAUCAUUUGACCCAUUUGUUUUUCCUACUAGUUUUUAGUCUGUAUUGAGACUGCAUCUAUUUUUUACUCACUGUUAUAUCCUCAGGAUUUUGAAUACUGCUGAGCACAUAAUGUAUAUUCAAUCAACUAAAAAUGUGUUGAAUGAAUGAAUGCCUAGACAGCGUUCUUCUCAUAGCUGGAGGUGUGCAAACACAAAUGGUCCCAUCUCUUUACAAGUGUGUUUCAGGGGAGAUUUUAGCAUCCAAUCAGGGUUGACUGGAUGACUUUUGAGGUUCCUUUACUUCAGAAGAGUAUUUGAAAUUCUGUUAGUCUGUGAUCCUCUAGUCUCCACUCACUGGCCAGCAAACUCUGCCUCCUUGGCUGACUCACCUGUGGCCCAGCUCUUCCCGCUCCAAAGACACACCCUCUCAUGAGGUAGCAUAUCUUAGGCUGAGCUAAGAUAGGGUCACAUCAAGCACAAGGAAAGGCUGUUUUGGAAGCCUCUGGGAACAGCUGCCUGGUGCUCUGAGGGGGCGCAAGUGAUUGGGUCCUCUGUGACUCCUUUAAGAAACUUUACAAGGUUAAGGUUUGUUCUAAAAAUAAGCCCACAAGGCUUUUUUAAAAGCUUCUAAAACCAUAUGUCCACAACAGCCAUUUUUUGAAGGGCCAGUGAGCCUUUAAAACCUUCAAAACCCACUACUUGGCCUGCCUCCCAUAGUGGGGAAAGUUCAAUAUGUGGUGUAUUUAAAAACAGACCUGCUUUUAAGUCUUCUAGAAUCUGCACCUGAAACAUUCUGCUCCUAUCAAAGUGGUUCAAGAUGGAGAUCAGCAAGUAUGAGGCUUGUUUCACAUUCAUCUGGAGGCCACAUUCAUCCCACAGUGAACAAUGACCCCAAAUAGCCACAGAACUGCAAUUAGUUGCCUGUAGAGAGAUUAGUUCAAGUCAUUCUUUCCUGUUGACUCUCUUCUCCCAUAGAUAUCUUCAUACUAUAGCAUGUUGUGGACAAUUCCAUCCAAGUGCAUAAGCACACAUACACACACACACACACACACACACACACACGAACCAUGGUGUGUCCAAGAAAAAUGUCCACCCAGAUGGAGUGCUUAUCUGAUUGUCAGUAGCAAGUAGGAUGGAGCAUUCAUGUGUUAAAUUGCUUUCUCCCUUUCUUUCUUCUCUCCCUUCCUCCCUCUCUUCCUUCUUUCCUUCCUUCAUUUCUUCCUUCCUUUUUCUCUUUCUUUUUUUCACUUCUUUCUUUCCCUUUCAUUUUUUGACUAAUAUAAGAGCCAAUCAUGUGCCACAUACUGAAAAUCUACAUUUUGAUGGGAAGGCAGGGAUUAGAGGUUAGUGGGGAGCAGUAGAAAGGAUAUCUUGAUUAAUCAGAAAUGCACCCUCCCCAAAGACAUGUUACGAUUUGUAGAGGGUUGGAGAGGGGUGGGGAUGUGGUACGCCAUAUUCCAGGCUCCUUGAAUGCUUCAAAUCUCAAUAAGGAAGUUUUUAAAUAGAUAAGGAAACUGAGACCCAGAAAGGUUAACAGUAUUGUGGAUGAUCCCUCGGGUCUAUUAGCCUCUAUGUAUACAUGUCUUGCUGCUUCCCUAGCAGAAGAAAUCUAGCCAUUUAUAAACAGCUUACCUAGAGUGGGGACAGGGCUCAGUGUUAAGAGAGGUAUCAGUAUGACAUCAUAUGGGUGUGCAGAGGAAAGCAAAAUCCCUUCCAGCUAACAGGACCAGGGAAGGUCCUAAUGUAGCUCACUGGGGCCAUGGUAAGGUGGAUUAUCUCUUCCCUAAACCAGAGAGCUCACUUCAGUCUUCUUUCCGUGCAAGUGAAAUAUCUCCGGUUUCUUAACAAACAUCAAAAGUCAGGCUGGGCACAGUGGCUCAUGCCUGUAAUCCCAGCACUUUGGGAGGUCAAGGCAGGAGGAUCACUUAAGGUUAGGAGUUUGAAACCAGCCUGGCCAAGAUGGCAAAACUGUCUCUACUAAUAACACAAAAAUUAGCUGAAUGUGGUGGCGGGUGCCUGUAAGCCCAGCUACUCGAGAGGCUGAGGCAGGAGAACCUCUUGAAUCCUGAAGGCAGAGGUUGCAGUGAGCUGAGAUCAUGCCAGUGCAGUCCAGCCUGGGUGACAGAGCAAGACUCCAUCAAAAAAAAAAAAAAAAAAAAAAGCCACCCAAGAGAGAUGAUUGCGUACUUACUUCCACUCAGUUAAAGCAUCAUCAGAGGGAAGGUACCAAUCCUUCUUCUAUGACAUUUUGACAGAUUCUCACCCAGCUUGUGCUCACAUCCCCAGUGACAGAGACCUUACUACCUCAUAAGAUGGGAAAACUGGAGCCCAAAGGAUGGAAAUACUGAACCCAUGGGCUCUGUCACUAGACUGCAUCCCAGGGCCUCAACAUAAUAUAUUCUUAUUUCCCAUUUUCAAAAGGUGAAAAAGCAGAAUGAUGGCCAGGCGAGUUCUCUGGCUAGGAAGAAGCCCAGCUGGUAUACACCAUUUUUCUGCACUUCCCCUGGGCAGCCAGAUGACUAGGAUUCAAGGACCAGCCUACCACUUUCUAAGCUGUUUGCCUUGGACAAAUGACUUAUUGCCUCUGAACUUCACUUUACUCACCUGUAAAAUGAGGAGACUCCAGAAGAAUGAGAAGAUUCCAUGAGAUGACUCUAGCAGAUCCAUUUCAGAAAAUACUCUGCGUGUGAAGUUAUUACAAGGAACUUGGCAGGCACACUCCCCUUCACCUAUGGGGCUUUUCUUUUUUCUUCCAUGAGAGCUUCUACCCAGAUAUGCAGAUAGAAGAAAUGUAUUGGUCCCAAAGACAACAAUGUCUGUGAAGCAGGAUUCAAAGAGAUGAAGGGAGGGGAGAACAAGCCUUUCAAAUUAUAGCAAGUGGGUGGUCUUCAACUGCUUUUACUUCUUUUUAAAAUUCCAGAUCAUACUGGGGUAACCUAUUAGAAAGAACCCUGUCCUGGAAUCCUGGAAAAGAGGCCCUGCUAGGAGCUGACCUUGGACAAAUCACUCCCUUCUCUGAACCUCACUGUUCAGGGGGCUGAGAACAGAGGGUCCCUAAGGAAGAGUGUUGUAUGAGAACAGUCUCCGCUCUUGACCCAAGCAAACCUGGCUUCAAAUCUCAACUCCUGUGGCUGACUAGCUGUAUGACCUUGACCUUUCUCAGUUUCCUCAUCUAUAAAGCAGGAUUAAUAAAAGGUACCUAUCUAAUAUGACUGUUCUGAGAAUAAAAUGAAAUAAACUACAUAGGUGAUUUGACAUUGUGCUUGGUUUACAGUAGGUGUUUAAUAAAAGGAAAUUGCUAUAUUAUUA